rnacentral:rRNA from 1 species
UACGUAGGGUGCGAGCGUUAAUCGGAAUUACUGGGCGUAAAGCGUGCGCAGGCGGCUUUGCAAGACAGAUGUGAAAAUCCCCCGGGCUUAACCUGGGAACUGCAUUUGUGACUGCAUGGCUAGAGUGCGGCAGAGGGGGAUGGAAUUCCGCGUGUAGCAGUGAAAUGCGUAGAUAUGCGGAGGAACACCGAUGGCGAAGGCAAUCCCCUGGGCCUGCACUGACGCUCAUGCACGAAAGCGUGGGGGAGCAAACAGG